GUCGAACGGCAGCACGGGAGCUUGCUCCUGGUGGCGAGUGGCGAACGGGUGAGUAAUACAUCGGAACGUACCCAGGAGUGGGGGAUAACGUAGCGAAAGUUACGCUAAUACCGCAUAUUCUGUGAGCAGGAAAGCGGGGGAUCGCAAGACCUCGCGCUCUUGGAGCGGCCGAUGUCGGAUUAGCUAGUUGGUGAGGUAAAAGCUCACCAAGGCGACGAUCCGUAGCAGGUCUGAGAGGAUGAUCUGCCACACUGGGACUGAGACACGGCCCAGACUCCUACGGGAGGCAGCAGUGGGGAAUUUUGGACAAUGGGGGCAACCCUGAUCCAGCCAUGCCGCGUGAGUGAAGAAGGCCUUCGGGUUGUAAAGCUCUUUCGGCGGGGAAGAAAUGGCAACGGCUAAUAUCCGUUGUUGAUGACGGUACCCGCAUAAGAAGCACCGGCUAACUACGUGCCAGCAGCCGCGGUAAUACGUAGGGUGCGAGCGUUAAUCGGAAUUACUGGGCGUAAAGCGUGCGCAGGCGGUUUCGUAAGACAGACGUGAAAUCCCCGGGCUCAACCUGGGAACUGCGUUUGUGACUGCGAGGCUAGAGUACGGCAGAGGGGGGUAGAAUUCCACGUGUAGCAGUGAAAUGCGUAGAGAUGUGGAGGAAUACCGAUGGCGAAGGCAGCCCCCUGGGUUAGUACUGACGCUCAUGCACGAAAGCGUGGGGAGCAAACAGGAUUAGAUACCCU
rnacentral:rRNA from 1 species